GUAGUAUUCAGAAUAACGUUUUCAAUCAUGAACUUCAUCAGUUUUGUGCUGCUUCUUUUUUUUACUAUCACAGUCGUUUGGUCUAUGGAGAAUGUACCGCUGGAAGAAGAAACAUAUCAUUCAUUAGCUCUUUCCAAGCGCGGCAAAAAAUGUGUUCUAUCUGAAUGUCAAACCUGGUGUAAAGGGAGAGGAAGGUCGAAGGGAACCUGUGGAGAACGAUGUAAUUGCUCUAAAAAUUGAAAACAAAUCUGGAGGUUAUAUAGGUUUAAAAUAGUCAUUUGGAAACCCACAUUA